CACGGGGGGAGCAAGCGUUGUUCGGAAUCACUGGGCGUAAAGGGCGUGUAGGCGGUCAGGUAAGUGGAAUGUGAAAGCCCUCGGCUCACCCGAGGAUCUGCAUUCCAAACUGCCUGGCUUGAGUAUGGGAGAGGAUGAGGGAAUUCCUGGUGUAGCGGUGAAAUGCGUAGAUAUCUGGAGGAAUACCGGUGGCGAAGGCGGCAUCCUGGACCGGCAUUGACGCUGAGGAGCGAAAGCUAGGGGAGCAAACGGG
rnacentral:rRNA from 1 species